UGAGAAACUGGAGCUAAGGUUGUUAAAAUGGAUUAGAGGUAGAUUGCCUCAAUUGCGUUACAGAAGGUGCUCCAAUUCUCAUUUAUACUAAAACAAUUUGUUGUGUGGAACUGUGAAAGUUCCAUAGGGGGGGAUUAUGUUAGAGAAUUUCCAGUCAUCUGGUGAUUUUCAGUACCUAUACUGUUUUCUUUGAAGUAGAAUGUAGAAUCGAUAUAAGGUUAGAUAUUAUACAGUACAUGUGUAAGCAGAAUGAAGGCUGAGCCCAUGUGAGUGUACAAAGCUGGAUCAACUUCGAGUUAACCAUUAGACAUGUAAAAAACUGAAUGUUAGCAGAAUCCUUGUGGAUGAGGCAUGGUAGACCAACACAAGACGUGACUGGUCUGGGCCAUAUCUGAUCUUGUGAAGGCUACUGGACAUACACAUGGGUUAAUCAUACAUAGACAAGAACUUGUGAACUUGAGCACAUUAACUUGUGAAGACCUUUGCACAGGAUCAUUAGCUAAUCAGUUAUAGGCACCAUUAGACCUGCAGUAGGAGUGUGCAUGUCUGUUUGUCACGCCACCAAUAGAAUCUAUGUCCUAAUGUCUGAGCCAAUAAGAAAAGCAACAAGAUUAGGGUGGCCAAGGCUAGAAGGUAUCAAUCAUUUACAUAAAAGUGGGGUGACGAUGUUACGUAAGGGUAAGACUGUGUAAAAGCAGAGUACUAAGAAUGGAGAGUCAGUUCUUCCAUGGAAUUGCUCGGGAUUGUUACUUUUUGUACGAAAGUUUAUUUGAAUUCACAAGCUCCGGUAUCUGAGAAAUAUUUGAUUCAAUAUUUCCACGACACUUCCUGAGUGGUUUGACGGCUGCGUGGUCCCAUGUGGUUUAUGCUUGCGUACUAUUGUUUGUACAGAUGAACAUGGUACCUUCAGGCGUUUGGAAAUUGCUCCCAAGGAUGAAACAGACUUGUGGAGGUCUUGGCUGAUUUCUUUUGAUUUUCCCAUGAUGUCAAGCAAAGAGCCACUGAGUUUGAAGGAUUACAUCUGUGAGGACACGAUUGCUGGAGGGUUGUGAUGCACGAGGUGCAGUGGAGACGCUGGGGCUGGGAGCACUCAGGUCCUGCUCAGCUGCAGCACCACUGACCUGGCUGGAACACGCAGCGACUAAAAACAAUAGAAAAUGUCACUAUUGUUUGUGUAAAUAAAUGUUUAAACACAA